AUUGAACGCUGGCGGCAGGCCUAACACAUGCAAGUCGAAUGGUAACAGGAAACAGCUUGCUGUUUCGCUGACGAGUGGCGGACGGGUGAGUAAUGUCUGGGAAACUGCCUGAUGGAGGGGGAUAACUACUGGAAACGGUAGCUAAUACCGCAUAACGUCGCAAGACCAAAGAGGGGGACCUUCGGGCCUCUUGCCAUCAGAUGUGCCCAGAUGGGAUUAGCUAGUAGGUGGGGUAACGGCUCACCUAGGCGACGAUCCCUAGCUGGUCCGAGAGGAUGACCAGCCACACUGGAACUGAGACACGGUCCAGACUCCUACGGGAGGCAGCAGUGGGGAAUAUUGCACAAUGGGCGCAAGCCUGAUGCAGCCAUGCCGCGUGUAUGAAGAAGGCCUUCGGGUUGUAAAGUACUUUCAGCGGGGAGGAAGGGAGUAAAGUUAAUACCUUUGCUCAUUGACGUUACCCGCAGAAGAAGCACCGGCUAACUCCGUG
rnacentral:rRNA from 1 species